AGUGAACGCUGGCGGUAGGCCUAACACAUGCAAGUCGAACGGCAGCACAGUAAGAGUUUGCUCUUACGGGUGGCGAGUGGCGGACGGGUGAGGAAUACAUCGGAAUCUACUUUUUCGUGGGGGAUAACGUAGGGAAACUUACGCUAAUACCGCAUAUGAUCUACGGGUGAAAGCAGGGGAUCUUCGCACCUUGCGCGAUUGAAUGAGCCGAUGUCGGAUUAGCUAGUUGGCGGGGUAAAGGCCCACCAAGGCGACGAUCCGUAGCUGGUCUGAGAGGAUGAUCAGCCACACUGGAACUGAGACACGGUCCAGACUCCUACGGGAGGCAGCAGUGGGGAAUAUUGGACAAUGGGCGCAAGCCUGAUCCAGCCAUACCGCGUGGGUGAAGAAGGCCUUCGGGUUGUAAAGCCCUUUUGUUGGGAAAGAAAAGCAGCAGGUUAAUACCCCGCUGUUCUGACGGUACCCAAAGAAUAAGCACCGGCUAACUUCGUG
rnacentral:rRNA from 1 species